GUAGGUGAACCUGCGGAAGGAUCAUUACCGAGUGGGGGUCCCCCGGGGCCCGAUCUCCAACCCUUUGUCUAUUCCACCGCGUCGCUUCGGCGGGCCCACGCCCGCCGACCGCGACCGCAAGUCUUGAAAUAUAACCACACAAAACUUUCAACAACGGAUCUCUUGGCUCUG
rnacentral:misc_RNA from 1 species